UGGGGAAUAUUGGACAAUGGGCGCAAGCCUGAUCCAGCCAUGCCGCGUGAGUGAUGAAGGCCCUAGGGUUGUAAAGCUCUUUCACCGGUGAAGAUAAUGACGGUAACCGGAGAAGAAGCCCCGGCUAACUUCGUGCCAGCAGCCGCGGUAAUACGAAGGGGGCUAGCGUUUUUCGGAUUUACUGGGCGUAAAGCGCACGUAGGCGGACUAUUAAGUCAGGGGUGAAAUCCCGGGGCUCAACCCCGGAACUGCCUUUGAUACUGGUCGUCUGGAGUUCGAGAGAGGAGAGUGGAAUUCCGAGGGUAGGGUUGAAAUCCGUAGAUAUUCGGAGGAAAACCAGUGACGAAGCCGGCUCACUGGCUCGAUACUGACGCUAAGGUGCGAAAGCGGGGGGAGCAAACAGG
rnacentral:rRNA from 1 species